rnacentral:rRNA from 1 species
GAUGAACGCUAGCGGCAGGCUUAAUACAUGCAAGUCGAGGGGCAGCAGUUUUGUAGCAAUACAGAAGCUGGCGACCGGCAAACGGGUGCGGAACACGUACGCAACCUUCCUUUAACUGGAAGAUAGCCCACCGAAAGGUGGAUUAAUACUCCAUAACAUAUUGAAGAGGCAUCUCUUUGAUAUUAAAGCUCCGGCGGUCAAAGAUGGGCGUGCGUCUGAUUAGGUAGUUGGCGGGGUAACGGCCCACCAAGCCUUCGAUCAGUAGCUGAUGUGAGAGCAUGAUCAGCCACACGGGCACUGAGACACGGGCCCGACUCCUACGGGAGGCAGCAGUAAGGAAUAUUGGUCAAUGGACGCAAGUCUGAACCAGCCAUGCCGCGUGGAGGAUGAAGGCCCUCUGGGUUGUAAACUUCUUUUCUUUGGGACGAAACCCCUGUUUCUACGGGGACUGACGGUACCUGCAGAAAAAGCACCGGCUAACUACGUGCCAGCCGCCGCGGUAA